AAUGGGCCAGUGCCCACAGAAUUCCCUGUCUUGGCAAGUGGCCCCUCAGCAGGAAGCAGCAGCGUGACAGAACAGAGGAAGGGUCUGCUGAAGGCUCAGUGGCCUGGAGCCCACACCCUGUGCCUUUGGGCUUGCCCUGCAGCACACGGACCCUCCCCUAACGUUGCAGGGCUAAGGCAAGAAUAGGAGUAGAGGCAGACACACCGUAUGUCUAAAUAUUUUAAAGUUAUAAAUGAGGCUCACCUUCUGCCUUCCUGUCUUAACAAUCACAUCUUCAUAAGGAACUGUGAACCCAGAUUUGAACUGAGAGUUUUUGUCUUUGCAGUGCAAGGCAAGUCAGUUCCCUACAGCAGCCUGUGGGCCACUCCCUUCCCUCUCCAAUCAUUGGUUUUGUCCUUUCAUAAUAUGGUAUGAACCCCCAAGCCUCUGUCCACAUGUCCUGCAUGUGAACAUCCCAAGCUCUGUCCACAUGUCCUGCAAACAGCUGACCCGGGGCCACCCCUUGGGCCCAGGGGUGUGCACACUGCUGGCAGUGGCACACAUCUCAGGAAGAGCAUGGCACAGACUCUGGAAGUGGGCAGGGAGUUGUAGGGUCCUGGGCACUGGAGGUGCCUGGGCUGGGGCGGGGGUGGGCAGCACGUGGGCUCUAAGCAAGUACAACCCCUUGACAUAGACUCCUCAUCCUGUGAGGUCAGUGUCACAGGAGAAACAGCAGGUCCUCUGAAACACGGGCCUAAGUGAGGGCCCCUUUUGCCAGGGUCUAACCGGCAUCCACCAUAAACCAGUGGCUGGAACAUGUUGUCUUCUUUGGUUUAGCCCAGGUGCGUGGAUUGGGGAACAAAGAGCGAAGGUUGAAGUAUCUCCCUCACUAUUAUACCUCGUAGCCUGCUUGAAUAAUUUCUGCUUCCCAUCCCCAUGACCUGGAGUUUGGGGAUAUGAAGGUUCUAGUGCACAGAGAAGUGUUCUUGUUGGAAUGCAUGGUCAUGGUUUCUGAAUUAGGAGCUGAAACUGCCUUCUGAAAGUUUGGAAAGAGAGAUGCGAAGGGUGGUAGAGAGGUAAUAUCCAAGUUAGUCGGCCUCCUUGUUUUUCUUUGUGUCCCCCUUGCACCUGCACUGCCCUGAUUUUACUGCUGAGGACACCUGGACCAAACAGAGGAAGGGUGAAUUGGUCUGUCUCUCCUGGAGCCGGGAUACACGCUUCUUCUCCUGCCCUUGGAAAUCAGAACUCCAGGGUCUCCGGAGUGGCCACAGAUGUGAGGCAGACAACAUUUGCCCCAAGGUAAUGGUGGGGGAGAAGCAAAAGCACAACUCCAACGGCUACUCUCCUACUUUAAACACCCACAGGCGUCUGGCCGCCAGCCAAAGCUCCUGCCCUACGCUUGGCACAGACCCCUCCGCCUCUGGGGCUUUUCACAAACUUCCCAUUGCAUGGUGUCUUUCCUCUAUGGUUAGUUCAGCAUAUUGGUAAAAACCAGAAGCACAUCAUAGUCCAUUUCUAAAUAGCAACCUCAGUUGAGAUUUUUCUCUUUAAUUUGUUCAUUUUUUAGGAUCGUGCGUCUUAAUUUCCUGGCCUGUGUGCGUGCGGAUUCUAACUGCAGUGCAUUGUGGUUAUGAAUAUGAUCUGUAAUUUAUCCAUUUUUGGGGAAACUCUUUUGCUCAUAGUAAAUGGUGCAUUUACUAUGGUCCAUUUUGUAAAUAUUCAUGUGUGUGCUUAAAAAGAAUGUAUAUUCCCGGCUGGGCACGGUGGCUCUCGCCUGUAAUCCCAGCACUUUGGGAGGCCGAGGCUGGCGGAUCACCUGAGGUCAGGAGUUCAAGACCAGUUUGACUAACAUGGUGAAACCCCCUUCUCUACUAAAAAUAAUUACAAAAUUAGCCGGGCAUGGUGGUGUGCACUUGUAAUCCCAGCUACUUGGGAGGCUGAGGCAGGAGAAUCGCUUGAAUCUGGGAGGCGGAGUUUUCAGUGAGCUGAGAUCUCACCACUGCACCCCAGCCUGGACGACAGAACAAGACUGUCUAAAAAAAAAAAAAACAAAAAAAAA
rnacentral:lncRNA from 1 species